rnacentral:rRNA from 1 species
GACGAACGCUGGCGGCGUGCUUAACACAUGCAAGUCGAACGGAAAGGCCCUGCUUUUGUGGGGUGCUCGAGUGGCGAACGGGUGAGUAACACGUGAGUAACCUGCCUUUGAUUUUGGGAUAACUUUAGGAAACUGGGGCUAAUACCGGAUAGGAGCUCCUGCCGCAUGGUGGGGGUUGGAAAGUUUCGGCGGUUGGGGAUGGUCUCGCGGCUUAUCAGCUUGUUGGUGGGGUAGUGGCUUACCAAGGCUUUGACGGGCAGCCGGCCUGAGAGGGUGACCGGCCACAUUGGGACUGAGAUACGGCCCAGACUCCUACGGGAGGCAGCAGUGGGGAAUAGUGCACAAUGGGCGGAAGCCUGAUGCAGCAACGCCGCGUGCGGGAUGACGGCCUUCGGGUUGUAAACCGCUUUCGCCUGUGACGAAGCGUGAGUGACGGUAAUGGGUAAAGAAGCACCGGCUAACUACGUG